GAGUUUGAUCAUGGCUCAGAUUGAACGCUGGCGGCAUGCCUUACACAUGCAAGUCGAACGGCAGCACGGGAGCUUGCUUCUGGUGGCGAGUGGCGAACGGGUGAGUAAUGCAUCGGAACGUAUCCUGGAGUGGGGGAUAACGUAGCGAAAGUUACGCUAAUACCGCAUAUUCUGUGAGCAGGAAAGCGGGGGACCUUCGGGCCUCGCGCUCUUGGAGCGGCCGAUGUCGGAUUAGCUAGUUGGUGAGGUAAAGGCUCACCAAGGCGACGAUCCGUAGCAGGUCUGAGAGGAUGAUCUGCCACACUGGAGCUGAGACACGGUCCAGACUCCUACGGGAGGCAGCAGUGGGGAAUUUUGGACAAUGGGGGCAACCCUGAUCCAGCCAUGCCGCGUGAGUGAAGAAGGCCU
rnacentral:rRNA from 1 species